rnacentral:rRNA from 1 species
ACGGCGAGUGAAGCGGCAAGAGCUCAAAUUUGAAAGCUGGCCCCCUCGGGGUCCGCAUUGUAAUUUGCAGAGGAUGCUUCGGGAGCGGCCCCCAUCUAAGUGCCCUGGAACGGGCCGUCAUAGAGGGUGAGAAUCCCGUCUGGGAUGGGGUGUCCGCGCCCGUGUGAAGCUCCUUCGACGAGUCGAGUUGUUUGGGAAUGCAGCUCUAAAUGGGUGGUAAAUUUCAUCUAAAGCUAAAUACUGGCCGGAGACCGAUAGCGCACAAGUAGAGUGAUCGAAAGAUGAAAAGCACUUUGAAAAGAGAGUUAAACAGCACGUGAAAUUGUUGAAAGGGAAGCGCUUGCGACCAGACUCGCUCGCGGGGUUCAGCCGGCAUUCGUGCCGGUGUACUUCCCCGCGAGCGGGCCAGCGUCGGUUUGGGCGGCCGGUCAAAGGCCCUCGGAAUGUAACGCCCCCCGGGGCGUCUUAUAGCCGAGGGUGCCAUGCGGCCAGCCCGGACCGAGGAACGCGCUUCGGCUCGGACGCUGGCAUAAUGGUCGUAAGCGACCCGUCU